rnacentral:ncRNA from 1 species
AUGAUAGCAAUGAAUGGAUUAUAGUAGUGCAUGUUCUCCCUGAAACAGAGAGCUGACGGAUGGUGUGAGUCAGAACAAAGAACAGCAUGAAUUACGAUCCAGGAGCUUUCUUCUUCUAACCGGAUGGUGAGGGGAAGACGGUUAAUAGCCGUUAUGAGUAAUGAGAUAUUGACAUAUUAACUAUGUCGAUAAUUAGGGUGGUACCGCGUAAAUCACGUCCCUGCU